CUGGUAUGGGAAACAGGGAAAGAUUACAUUGAUUUAAGGAAAUGUGUUGGAAAGAAGAAAUAAUAGAUGAGUAUAUUCCAAAAUUUUUUUUUCCCCCAAAGAAUGAGUUUAGGAAAUAACUGGAAUAAUCACUUGUGUGAUGUUUAUAGCAAUGGGUGAGUGUCAUGAUGGACCCAUGUAGUUCAUGGUUUGCACAACACCCAUCGCAUGAUCAGGCAAGUCGGAGAGCUAGUGAGUUCAUAAUAAUCCUAAGGACAUGGUGAGGUUGUUUUAGUGGACAUUUCCUAAGAUUUCUACUUUCUCACCACUCUUCUAACUGCAGGUCACCAUCUCCCUCUGACUGCUCCAACCCAACAGCACUGCCCCAGUUCUCCUUACUCCUUCACUUCUGAGCUAUACAGGGCACUAUGUAGCUGGCACUGACUUUUACUGCUAUUUAAGUUCUCCAGACAAUUCCAUAGUUUAAGAACCAGUGGAUUAGAGAAGUCCCAUUCAAAGGAGUUGUUCAUUCUCUAACAGUCUGAAGUUCUUGUCGGCCAGCAUCACUGAUGAAAACACUGUCAACUUCAUUGAGGUUUAAAGGCUAAAGGUGGCUGGGUAGGGAGCCCAAGGUGAGAGGAUCAUUCGAGACCAACCUGGGCAACAUACUGAGACCUUGUCUCUACAAAAAAAUUUUUAAAAUUAGCCAGGCAUGGUGCUGUGUACCUGUGGAGGAUCUCUUGAUCCCAGGAGUUGGAGGCUGCGGUGAGCUAUAAUUGUGCCACUGCAUUCUAGCCUGGGUAACAGAGUGAGACCCUGUCUCAAAAAAAAUACUGCAGACAAUAAUCCUUCUCAGCUCUACUACUCUUCCUAAGUUCCUGAGAGCUUCCUACCAUCUUCAUUAGGACUCCACAGAGUCUAACAUACCAUGGCUCAGCAAAGCAAAUGAUUGCUUUCUGAAGGCUAGAGUUCAUCCAAAAUGGCGGCCUGCUAGUUAAGUCUAGAGGCUUAAAGAGUGUAAGAAGAAAAGACCUCACACCUUCUUGGGCUGUGCAAGUAGCUCCUGUGGGACCCUGACCACAUCAUACUUCUUUUCUGCACCUUAAGGCCACCCUCAUUGCUAGGAAGGACCAUAAGCUAGACCAGGUGGAUCCAUUUGUACUCUAGGGUAUGUAAGAUCAAUAGGUCCCUGUCUCAGUGAGCAGAACGCUACACUUCUACUGAAGGUGGUAUGUAAUAAAGUAUAAUAAAGAGUAACUGUCAUUCCCAAAUUGCAAGAAACCCUGUACUACCUAAACUUCAACCUGCCAUGACUUACAAAAAGCAGAGGCCAUAGAGAAAUUUCAUUUCACUGGUGCACAAUAUGCACUGAAAAUGUCACCGUCCUUUCUAUUACUAUGAGAGAAGGAAAUACGACAGGCCUUCCCAGGCCUUCAGGUACCAAAGUAAAGCAGAAGAGAGCAGCUCAUUGGCAGUAUUUUUGCUGAGAUUUUUCUAUUCUUCUCAUGAAAAGCCCAUCAUUAAUUGGCUGCCUUGUGGAAAGACAGACAACAGGUCAGAGAAUGGAUUAUCUGGGUUCUAGUCUAGAGACCUUUUCACUGCUCAUUAGUACUGCUUUACUAUUACAAGUUAGAAAAGGGAAGAGAAAUCUCAAAUAGGUGAAUACUCAGGUUUGUGACUAGGGAGAGAGGUAAACAAGUUCUGGUGAGAAAUGAAAUGGACCUAAGUAGUUACUGUAAUAUGAGAGACUGAGUUUAAUUCAUCCAUAUCCAUAUCAUCUUUGUCCCAUUAUUAUUACAAAUCAUAUGGUUUCACCAUGUGAUUGAGUCCCUAAAGUCAUUUAAGAGAGUUGAUCUUUUCAGUUUCCUCUGACUCAGCCUCUGAUCCGGCAGGCUGAACAAAGCGUGCAAUCCAGGGAUCUGAGAGUGUGGGAACUGAAGGACUCCACAGAACUGGAGCCGCCCUGCAGCUGGAGGUGCACAAGCCUCAAGCGGCUCUGGGUGGAAAAUUCAUUUUUUAAGUCAAAAUGUUUUAUCGUAUGGAAGCAAAGGCUUGACUAAGAAGAUACCAUUUGGUAAUAUGGAACUAAUCUGAAAUACCUUCACUCUUGUAUGAAUGUAUGUGCAAAAUGAAUCCGCAAAAAGACAGCAGGGAUGAUUAAAUGAGGCCAAGUAAAGAUCUGCCACAUCCAUGUCUGGUUGUUUGGAUGCCAUGGAAAUGCAACAGAAGUAAAAGCUUAUGAGUGAUGCUCUUCUCAAACAAAUAACGAGAUUCCCUUUUGUGCAUUUUAGUCACUUAAAUUUACAACAAACUAGAUAGGAUAUCCGUAACAGUGACAUUAAUGCCACUGUGAGACCAAUUGAAAAGCAAAAUCUACACUAAUGGUAUCCUAGAGGCAAUGUUCAAUUCGGCUGUACCACAUAAACAGCAAAAUGAAAAAUUUAAUCAUUAUUAUUCAUGUUAUUCAUGAUCAAUAUUAUCAUUAUCAGUGCUGCAAACAGUGUUCGACACAUAAUGAAUAGCACUCAACAAAUCUCCUAUAAAUGGAUGAAUUUCUACUAUUACUAUAUUGAACACAAAUGAUAGUAAGAAUAUAAAUGUAUUAAAAUCUUUUGGGCUCCUUAAUUUUUAAAUUCACCUGCCAAAGUUCUACAUUUUUUAUCUCGAUCUGAUGCA
rnacentral:lncRNA from 1 species